rnacentral:rRNA from 1 species
UACGGAGGGGGCUAGCGUUGUUCGGAAUUACUGGGCGUAAAGCGCACGUAGGCGGUUAUUCAAGUCAGAGGUGAAAGCCCGGAGCUCAACUCCGGAAUUGCCUUUGAAACUAGAUAACUUGAACGUCGGAGAGGUGAGUGGAAUUCCGAGUGUAGAGGUGAAAUUCGUAGAUAUUCGGAAGAACACCAGUGGCGAAGGCGGCUCACUGGACGACUGUUGACGCUGAGGUGCGAAAGCGUGGGGAGCAAACAGG